ACUGUGAGGAGCGGGAGGUGGCUGUGCCAAACCGGGAGGAACCAGUGGCAGACUGGGAGGAGUGGGCUGUGGAUGUGGCAAACCAGGAGGAACUGCAAAACCGGGAGGAGUGGGCGGUGGCAGCGGACGUGGCCAUGGCAGACCGGGAAGAGCUGGCAGUGGCCGUGGCAGAUCAGGAAGAGCGGGCAGUGGCUGUGGCAGACCGGGAGGAGUGGGCGGUGGCCGUGGCAGAGCAGGAGGAUCGGGCAGUGGCAGAGUAGGAGCAGGUAGUUGUGGUGCUGCUGCUAGAGUAGGUCCAGGAAGUGCGGGCCCUUGUUCGAUGUCUUCUGAGGGCUUUUCUUCAAUGUCUGCCGAGGAAUAUAACCCAUUUUCAACAUCUUUAAACACUUGUAGCCUCCUUGUUUUCUUCUCAGUUUGACUUUUUGUCUUAACUGCUUCCUCCCACAGCUCCUUGAAAAAAAAAAGCUUUCAAUGAUUACUUAUUUAUCAAAAAAGAAAAACAAAUCUUCAAUCAAUUCUAUCAAAAAGAUGAUUGAUGUUUACCUCGAAAUUUUUUCCAUCAUCCAGAUGUGCCUCUGUUCCAGAAAUUUUUAGCCAUUCCUCACAUAAAUGCUGUAAAUAUUUCAAUGAAUAGUUAGAUAAGCAUAUGAGAAGGCAAGAUCCAUUUCAAGUGGGAAAGAAAAAGACAAGUGGAACCAGAGGGCUUGGAAGAAUUUUCCAGACAAGGUUAUAUCCAUCUGGUGGUUCAGCUUCUAAAAGGCGAACAUGGAAGUUUCGAAGUUUCGAGUUGGUGAAAAGAUGUAGCAAGUGCAGAAGAGUAUAAAACAACCAGGACUCAAAUGGUUGCAAUCCACAGAAACAGAUGGUUUUGGAAGUCUUGAACUGCUGGAUUGAUACAAGUAUCAAGCAAAAGCUCAAAUGUUUUGUUUAACCAAGUCCUCUAGAAGGACUCUGUAUGUGAAUGCUGUGUUCUUUACAGACAUGUUCAAUGUGUAUUGCUUAUUUCUCUAAA